rnacentral:rRNA from 1 species
AUGCUGACUUUGACAGGGCUCGUCGUGCCAGACACCAUCUUCUUCGAGUUCAACCUGAAGAUCGACGGAACCACCGGCGACAGAGAUUUCAGCAAAGGUGUCAUAGAACACUACCCUGUUCCCUUGGAGAAGGGACCCAAGGCUGAGCUGCUAUCUAGCUGGCUGAGCACGGUAGAACUGGUACUAGCGCCCGUUCCGUUUGCCGUGGCAGCUACAGUUAAAGUCAGGAUUCUGAAUGGACCCUGCGACGCCCCUUUCAGUGGCAAGAUAACCGCCUGGACCGCCGGAGACACCGAGAGCCAUAUCAUUCUAUAUGAUGAACAAGAACACAGAGCGAUGGGCGGUCGUAGAUUGACCGGAGACGGCGGUUCGAUCGCGUUAAGCCGUGAUUUGGUGGCCGUCCAUGUGCCUAGUUCCUUGUAUGAUGAUGAGUAUGAAGAAAUCGCGGUCAGUGUUUGUUUUACUUCCCGUGAUGGUGAUGGUGAGUGCACCUGUGUCACUCUACAAUACCCUCAGGAGGAGAAGGUUUGCGUUCAUGGCGCCUAUGAGCUUCAGGUGGAGGUUACCUGGACAGCCAUUCUGGAAGGGCCGUUUGGCACGGAUGUUGACAAAAGAUGGAGCUCUGUUCCUCUGAGACCAUUGCUUUUCUGA